AUCGAUGAUGAGCUGCUUUUCAUUUAAGCUUUGCCAUUACAUAGGAGCGUCGAGCGUCGAGCGUCAAGCGUCAAAAACGCGUGCGCAACGCCCUUGCGCAUGAUUCAGAACUGGCAGAUUUCAGCAUCUUGACGCUUAUUACAAUGUCUAGUGAUAAAAGUUUAAUAGACGCUAUAAAGGAAUCGGAUUUAACAUGUGGAGUGUGCAUAUCAAAAGUUAAUAAAUACAAGAUUUUUAAUCAUCAAUGCAUGAAAGAUUGGUAUAGUAUCACAAUUAAUGGAGAUACUAAAAUGUUUUAUCCUACUAAUGGUAAGAACUAUAAUUAAUGC